AUACGGAAGGUCCGGGCGUUAUCCGGAUUUAUUGGGUUUAAAGGGAGCGUAGGCCGCAUGUUAAGCGUGCUGUGAAAUGUCGGGGCUCAACCUGGGCAGCGCAGCGCGAACUGGCUUGCUUGAGUGCGCGGAAGGGAGGCGGAAUUCGUGGUGUAGCGGUGAAAUGCUUAGAUAUCACGAAGAACUCCGAUUGCGAAGGCAGCUUCCCGCAGCGCUACUGACGCUGAAGCUCGAAGGUGCGGGUAUCGAACAGGAUUAGAUACCCUGGUAGUCCGCACGGUAAACGAUGGAUGCCCGCUGUGCGCCUUAUUGGCGCGUGGCCAAGCGAAAGCGUUAAGCAUCCCACCUGGGGAGUACGCCGGCAACGGUGAAACUUAAAGGAAUUGACGGGG
rnacentral:rRNA from 1 species